rnacentral:rRNA from 1 species
GACGAACGCUGGCGGCGUGCUUAACACAUGCAAGUCGAACGGAAAGGCCCUGCUUUUGUGGGGUGCUCGAGUGGCGAACGGGUGAGUAACACGUGAGUAACCUGCCCUUGACUUUGGGAUAACUUCAGGAAACUGGGGCUAAUACCGGAUAGGAGCUCCUGCUGCAUGGUGGGGGUUGGAAAGUUUCGGCGGUUGGGGAUGGACUCGCGGCUUAUCAGCUUGUUGGUGGGGUAGUGGCUUACCAAGGCUUUGACGGGUAGCCGGCCUGAGAGGGUGACCGGCCACAUUGGUACUGAGAUACGGCCCAGACUCCUACGGGAGGCAGCAGUGGGGAAUAUUGCACAAUGGGCGGAAGCCUGAUGCGGCAACGCCGCGUGCGGGAUGACGGCCUUCGGGUUGUAAACCGCUUUCGCCUGUGACGAAGCGUGAGUGACGGUAAUGGGUAAAGAAGCACCGGCUAACUAC